rnacentral:sRNA from 1 species
GCAUCGGCAAAAUCCGGUGCCGGGAUUUGCACCCCGCUCACUACAAAGGCGCAUUCACCGCGCAAGCGGUUUUUUU